AGAAUCAACGCUGGCGGCGUGCCUCAGACAUGCAAGUCGUACGAUUAAAGCUCUCUUCGGAGAGUGCAUAAAGUGGCGUACGGGUGAGUAACACGUAAGUAAUCUACCUUUGAGUGGGGAAUAACAGUCGGAAACGACUGCUAAUACCGCAUAAUGCAGCGGCUCGACAUCGAGACAGUUGUUAAAGAAUUUAUUCGCUUAAAGAGGAGCUUGCGGCAGAUUAGCUAGUUGGUAAGGUAAUGGCUUACCAAGGCAACGAUCUGUAGCCGACCUGAGAGGGUGGUCGGUCACACUGACACUGAAUAACGGGUCAGACUCCUACGGGAGGCAGCAGUCGGGAAUUUUGGGCAAUGGGCGAAAGCCUGACCCAGCAACGCCGCGUGAAGGAUGAAGUAUUUCGGUAUGUAAACUUCGUAAGAAUGGGAAGAAUAAAUGACGGUACCAUUUGUAAGGUCCGGCUAACUACGUGCCAGCAGCCGC
rnacentral:rRNA from 1 species